UACGUAGGGGGCAAGCGUUGUCCGGAUUUAUUGGGCGUAAAGAGCUCGUAGGUGGUUCGGUAAGUCGGAUGUGAAAUCUCCAGGCUCAACCUGGAGGGUCAUUCGAUACUGCCGUGACUAGAGGUCGGUAGGGGAGUGUGGAAUUCCUGGUGGAGCGGUGAAAUGCGCAGAUAUCAGGAGGAACACCCGUAGCGAAGGCGGCACUCUGGGCCGAUACUGACACUGAGGAGCGAAAGCGUGGGGAGCGAACAGGA
rnacentral:rRNA from 1 species